CCUACGGGUGGCAGCAGUGGGGAAUAUUGGGCAAUGGGCGCAAGCCUGACCCAGCAACGCCGCGUGAAGGAAGAAGGCUUUCGGGUUGUAAACUUCUUUUCUGAGGGACGAAGAAAGUGACGGUACCUCAGGAAUAAGCCACCGCUAACUACGUGCCAGCAGCCGCGGCAAUACGUAGGUGGCAAGCGUUAUCCGGAAGUACUGGGUGUAAAGGGAGCGUAGACGGCUGUGCAAGUCUGGAGUGAAAGGCGGGGGCCCAACCCCCGGACUGCACUGGAAACUGUAUGGCUGGAGUGCAGGAGAGGUAAGCGGAAGUCCUAGUGUAGCGGGGAAAUGCGUAGAUAUUAGGAGGAACACCAGUGGCGAAGGCGGCUUACUGGACUGUAACUGACGUUGAGGCUCGAAAGCGUGGGGAGCAAACAGGAUUAGAUACCCCAGUAGUC
rnacentral:rRNA from 1 species